rnacentral:lncRNA from 1 species
CUAAACCAAAAAUCUCACAAAACCCUCCAAAAAGAUGAACUCAACUCUCAGUCAACUCAUCGAUUUCCACCACUCACACACCGCCGCCGCUCUACCACCGCAGCUCCGCCUCAACCCACAUUCUCCGAUCUCCCCACCUCCUAUUCUCACACAAAACUCUGAAGAAAAACUUCGCCAUCAGAGCUUCCGCCUCCAGCAACCCCACCCCAGCCAACACCUCCAUUUCCAUUCUCAAAUCCGCCGCCUGCGCCGUCGUCUUCGCCGUCGGGAAAUUCCCGCACUUCCUCGCUAGGGCAGAGAUCCCAACGCCGGCCGAAACCCUAACCGAAAGAUUUAUACAGUGAUUUCUGGGGGUACUCUAUUAAUCAAAGGACAGUGAUUUUUUCACCCAGAUCUGGCGAUCGAUAAUCAAAGGACGAUAGCAAAAUCGCGAAUCGAAGGAGAGAUGCAAUCAAAGAUCAGCGCAUUCUUCAAACCUUCUUCAAAGCUUUCCCCCAAUUCAUUUUUUGAUGUUUCUGAAGAAUUAAUAGAAUACCCAGAAAUCACUGUCACCUACAAACGACGCACGAAAUCUAUCAAACAAUG